AGUUAAAGAUGUAGGGUACAGAGGUAAGAUGUUCUAUCUUUCAGACCUUUUACUUCACGUAAUCGGAUUUGGCUGAAUAUUUUAGCCGCCCCAGUCAUUAGUGACUGGGGCGUUUUUUA
rfam:Mangrovibacter sp. MFB070 Contig-053, whole genome shotgun sequence.